CCUACGGGAGGCAGCAGUGGGGAAUAUUGCACACUGCGGGAAACCCUGAUGCAGCGACGCCGCGUGAGUGAAGAAGUAAUUCGUUAUGUAAAGAUCUAUCAGCAGGGAAGAAAAUGACGGUACCUGCGUGAGAAGCCCCGGCUCACUACGUGCCAGCAGCCGCGGUAAGACGGAGGGGGCAAGCGUUAUCCGGAUUUACUGGGUGUAAAGGGAGCGUAGACGGCAGUGCAAGUCUGGAGUGAAAGGCGGGGGCUCAACCCCCGGACUGCUCUGGAAACUGUACGGCUGGAGUGCAGGAGAGGUAAGUGGAAUUCGUGGUGUAGCGGUGAAAUGCGUAGAUAUUAGGAGGAACACCAGUGGCGAAGGCGGCUUACUGGACUGUAACUGACGUUGAGGCUCGAAAGCGUGGGGAGCAAACAGGAUUAGAUACCCCAGUAGUC
rnacentral:rRNA from 1 species